CAAGAAAUAGUUUAUUAAAAAUAUUAACUUUGGGAGUUAGUGAUAAAGAGGAUUCUUUUUUCUUGA
rnacentral:tRNA from 1 species